AGAGUUUGAUUCUGGCUCAGAACGAACGCUGGCGGCGCGUUUUAAGCAUGCAAGUCGAGCGGCAGGGGGGCUUCGGUCCCCCGAGAGCGGCGGACGGGUGAGUAACACGUGGACAACCUGCCCCCCGGUUCGGGAUAGCCCAGGGAAACCUGGAUCAAUACCGGAUGCGAGGGCGGCCGCACAAGCGGCCGUCGGGAAAGGCGCUUCGGCGCCGCCGGGGGAUGGGUCCGCGUCCCAUUAGCUAGACGGUGGGGUAACGGCCCACCGUGGCGAUGAUGGGUAGCCGGCCUGAGAGGGUGGACGGCCACAUUGGAACUGAGACACGGUCCAGACUCCUACGGGAGGCAGCAGCUAAGAAUCUUCCGCAAUGGGCGAAAGCCUGACGGAGCGACGCCGCGUGAACGAAGAAGGCCGUGAGGUUGUAAAGUUCUUUUCGGGAGGGGGAACGAGGCUGCCAGGCAAUGGGCGGCCGAUGACGUGAAUCCCGGAAUAAGCCCCGGCUAACUACGUGCCAGCAGCCGCGGUAACACGUAGGGGGCGAGCGUUGUUCGGAAUCAUUGGGCGUAAAGGGCGUGCAGGCGGCCGCCAAAGUCCGGCGUGAAAGACCCAGGCUCAACCUGGGGGGUGCGCCGGAUACUGGGCGGCUUGAGUACAGGAGGGGACGGCGGAAUUCCAGGUGUAGGGGUGAAAUCUGUAGAUAUCUGGAGGAACACCGAUGGCGAAGGCAGCCGUCUGGCCAUGUACUGACGCUGAGGCGCGAAGGUGCGGGGAGCAAGCAGGUUUAGAUACCCUGGUAGUCCGCACAGU
rnacentral:rRNA from 1 species